rnacentral:rRNA from 1 species
UACCCGCUGAGUUUAAGCAUAUCAAUAAGC